GCGGGCGUGGCGGAAUUGGUAGACGCGCUGGAUUUAGGUUCCAGUAUCGCACGAUGUGGGGGUUCGAGUCCCUUCGCCCGCACCA
rnacentral:tRNA from 1 species